AUCUCGAGAUAAGUUAUUCUGGAC
rnacentral:miRNA from 1 species